rnacentral:lncRNA from 1 species
CUUGAACUCACUUGACUCUUAGUUUAACCCCUGAUAUCCACUGAAUGGAUUCCCGUACUAAUGUCACCAAUUAUCUAUAUUUUGCUAAGCGCCAUAGGCCAUUCUCAGGCCUCAUCAUAUUUUACCUAUCAACAGCUUUUGACAUUGUCUAUUACUCUAUACUUGAAACUUCCCCCACUUGGUUUCUGAGAUACCUCAAACUCUGAAAUUUCCUCUUACUUCUUUGGCCUCUUCUUGGUCUCCCUUCCUCGCACCUCCUUAUCUAUUUAGCCUCUGGAUAUUUGAGGACACUAGUCUAUGGCCCUCUUUUCGUUAUCUCAUCUACACUAUACCAUAGGUGACUUUAGUUGAUUCUAUGGUUUUAAAUACUUUCUUCGGAUGACUCCCCAGAUUUUAUCUAUAUCUCUGGAGUCAAGUAUCCAACUGCUUACUUAUCUUCUCCUCUUGGAUAUUAGUUAGGCAGCUCAAAUUUAACCAUCCAAAACUUAACUCUUAACUAUCAUCCCUAGACCCCUUAAACAAUUAUCUCAUUGCCCAUGGCAAAAAUAGAGGCAUCAUUUUGUGAUACUCUACACUCAAUUCACCAGUAAAUUCUAUGAGCAUCUUCGCCGCUAUCAACCUGGUCCGAGUCACUGUUUGCUCUAGUCUGGGUUAUUCUGUCUAUUUUUUUCUUCCAUCCAUAUGAUAGUUUUUUUUUUAAUUGCUUUUAUUUUUUAAAUACAUACAAUAGUUUUUAAAAUGUAAUUUUCAUCAUAUCACUCUGCUUACAACUGUCUAAUCACUUCCCAUUUCACUAAAAAUAGAUGGUAAAUUCAUUACCUCUGCCUAUACUUGUGAAAUUAUCUUCUAACCUUUUCUAUUUCCUAUCCUACUGGUCUUGCUAUUCCAGGAACUACUAAAAUGAUUUCUGCUUUAGGGUUUAAAAGAGUGCUUUUUCUUCUACCUGGAAGAUUCUUUCCCUAAUCCAUUCCCUCAUUGAGGUCUUUCAUGUCACUCUUACAGAGAGGCAUUCCCUACCCAGCCUUUCUAAAAUUAACCUCCAUCACCCUCUUCCUUGUUAUCCUCUUAUUUACCUUUACACAACUUAUCUAAUAUGUUUAUUGUCUGUCUCCCACACCAGAAAUGAGGGUAGGUACUCUGUUUUGUUCACUGCUUGUAGGCCCAGGACCUAUGACAGGGCUUGGUAUAUAGUAG